rnacentral:rRNA from 1 species
AUUGAACGCUGGCGGCAGGCCUAACACAUGCAAGUCGAACGAGGGGCGGACGGGUGAGUAAUGACUGGGAAACUGCCCGAUGGAGGGGGGUAACUACUGGAAACGGUAGCUAAUACCGCAUACCAUCGGAUGUGCCCAUAUGGGAUUAGCUAGUAGGUGGGGUAACGGCGCACCUAGGCGACGGUCCCGAGCUGGUCUGAGAGGAUGACCAGCCACACUGUAACGGAGACACGGCCCAGACUCCUACGGUAGGCAGCAGUGGGUAAUAUUGAACAAGGGGCGCAAGCCUGAUGCAGCCAGGCCGCGUGUAUGAAGAAGGCCUUCGGGUUGUAAAGUACUUUCAGCGAGAAGGCGUUACUCGCAGAAGAAGCACCGGCUAACUCCGUGCCAGCAGCCGCGGUAAUUC